GGCACCCAGAGGCGGUCCUGUAGCUGGGCCGGCUUGGGGCUUGGUUCUAUGUCCCUGUGGGAAGUGAAGUUUCUGGUUCCCUCCUUCACUGUGUGACCUGCCUAGUCCUCCUGGGUCGCAUUUACAGAAGUUUAUACGAGACCUAGUUUCCAGGGAAGAACUCACUGAUUCCGCGAGGGAGAUGGCGUAAUAGAUGAUGGUCGUCAGCCUUAAGGGUACUUCAGUCUUAACUGUGUGUUAGAAAGUUUGAAAGGGAGGGUUCCCUAUGAAUAAGAAGCACACUUGAAAGAACAGCCGUCUGGUCUAACCUCUCACUGGUGCUUCAGAGGAGGAAAAAAGGUCACAGCUAUGUUUCCAGUGUCCUCUGGGUGUUUCCAAGAGCAACAAGAAACGAAUAAAUCUCUGGUGAGUUGCUUACUUGUUCUUCACUUUGUUUUACACUGUAUUUUCUGAGUUUAUGGGUGUCUGUGAAUUAAAAAGGAAAAGUAGAAAUAAGUAAAACUCAGGUUGAAGGAAAUAUACAUAAAUAAGAUAAAGCUGACCUGUAGAUAUAGGCAGGUUAUAAGAGCUUAGAGUAGUCUCAGUUGGGUGCAAAUUUUCCUCUGAUCUUUCUGAUGCCGAGACAAAAAAGGCAGUCAUAUUUGUUACGUAAUUGGAAUGGAACCCGAGAAGAGAGCAUGCUGUGUUCUUGUGGGACAGGAAAGAUUGUGUGCACCAAGUCCGAACCACCACCUUCAUUGGUGACAUAGAUUAUGUGCUGGAACAUAUUUCACACCGGCCUGGCAGUAACCACUUGUAGUGUUGUGCAGUGGAAACGGUCAUCUUCCGCUAAAGCACAGCGUGUUGUGCAGUGGAAAUGGUCAUCUGCCGCUAAAGCACAGCUUCCAUCGUAAGGUGUGCUCAUUGCUCAAAGAGUGUGGUCCCAAACAGCUUUUGGGAGGUCCUCCUUGAUUCAUGGAUGAAACCCAGAACAUCUUGAGGACUGAGUUAACCAUAGGCCCUUAAAUAACUCUCCAGACAUUUUUCUUAGUUUAUCUCUACAUGCAGGGUGUGCAGCAGCCUGUUCAAAGUCAUAUUUUCUGGGAAAUAUUUCCAGUGUUUAUUUGCACUUUAGCCCACUCUGUGUAGUCUUAACUUAUUUCUUCUAAACUCACCAUUAACCUAAAUAAUAGUCAAAUUUAGGGGGACUGUAUUUGACUUACUCAAGUCUUCUACCAUAGUUGAAACUGUAGUACCCGAGUAAGUUAGAGAUAAACGCCACACUUUGAGACGAAUUCAGGGGUCCUUUAUUAGCUGGUGACUGAGAGACGGCUAAUGCACGAAAUUCUCUCGGCCCCGAGGAAGGGACUAGAUUUUCUUUUAUAAUUUGGUUUAGAGAGGGGAGGGGGGAUUCUAGCUGCAGCAACUUUACAGAAGAAAAAAACAGACAAAAAAGUUAAAAAGACAGAUGGUUACAGGAAAACAAACUGUUCCAGGUGCAGGGGCUUUAAAUUCACCACAAAGUGAUAGGUGAGGGGGCUCUGGGCAUUAUCUGCCAGACAAAUGUGGGGCUUUAUGAUACUAUCUCUGAAUAAAUUGCUGGGAACUGCAGACAUCGCUUGUCUAAGCACUUUAUCAGUUAAUUGCACUCUUUGAUAUGUUGAAAGUCAACUUGCACAAGUUAAAGUCCUUGAGGAAAGGGGGUGGGUAGGGAGCCCUUGAUGUCUUGUAAAUGAAGGAGCCAAAUGGAGUUUGUCUGGUUUUCUCAGCUAAGGGAGAGUCUAUUCAUAUUAAAAACAAGGUUAUCUAUCUAAGGAAGAGUCUAUUCAUGUUACAACGUUGGGUAUUACAAAACAUCUGUUCAUGAUCUGGAAAUUCAUCUGUGUUAGUUCUGUUAAAAGAAAAACUUUAAAGGAGUUUAAUAGAGCAAUAAACGAUUCACGAAUCAGACAGUCCCCAGAAUCACAGCAGAUUCACAGAGACUCCAGCGCAUUCGUGUGGUGGAAGAAGAUUUAUAGACAAAAGGGAAAUGGCAUACUGAAAUCGGAAGUGAGGUACAGAAACAACUCAGUGUUUGCCUUGUUUGAACACAGUUUGAACAUUUGGCAGUGCCUGAGUGGUUGAAGUUUGGCCAUUGGGAUUGGCCAAGAUGUAGCUGUUGUUCAAGAUGCAUACUCUUAAGUUAGUUUUUCAUUCUUCUAUACCUAUUAAGGUAGGUUACAGUUCAUCCACAAUGACUCAUAUAUAGAAUUAUGGAGUCCUUCUCAGGCCAUACUUAGUUCACUUUAACAAUGCCUUCCCUUUGGUUAUUUUCUCAAUUUUGAGAGAUUGGCCAAAACUUCAGUCACUGGUGUCACUAUUACCAUUGCAAAUGUACUUACUUGGUUUAGAAACCCACUGGGAAAUAGACCAGUGAGAUUUGAAAAGGUGGAACAAGGACUUGAGUAGAAGGUGUCUUCUUAUGCUGGAACAUCCUGUUUACAGGAGAAAAACAAAACCUGGUUUGUUCUAGGAUUUAUGUGUUUCCUUAAAGUCUUAGUUUGAUUAUGUUACAUUUAGCAUGAGUGACUCCAUUUUGGUUUGGUUUGGUCUGUUGGGACCUAUUGCAUGAGUUUAGUUCAAAACAAUGACCUCCCAUAAUUUUGCUUAAAAAAUUCCUCCUUUUGGCUGGGCGCGGUGGCUCACACAUGUAAUCCCAGCACUUUGGGAGGCUGAGGUGGGCAGAUCACGAGGUCAGGAGAUUGAGACCAUCCUUGCUAAUAAGGUGAAACCCCAUCUCUACUAAAAAUACAAAAAAUUAGCCAAGCGUAGUGGUGGGUGCCUGUAGUCCCAGCUACUCAGGAGGCUGAGGUAGGAGAAUGGCCUGAACCUGGGAGGUGGAGCUUGCAGUGAGCCAAGAUUUUGCCACUGCACUCCACUCUGGGGGACAGGCCAAGACUCUGUCUUAGAAAAAAAAGUCCUCCUUUUCAGUCAAGUUCUCACUUAGUUGCGAGUGUGACUAAAAUAUAGGGCCUUAGCAUCACUCUUAGUUACCAUUGUUUUGGGUUCCGGGUUUAGCACGUCAUUCCCAUUGUUUUGGGUUUCUGGUUUAGCACAUCACUCCCAUUGUUUUGGGUUCCAGUUUUAGCACGUCACUCCCAUUGUUUUGGGUUCUGGUUUAGCACGUCACUCCCAUUGUUUUGGGUUCUGGUUUUAGCACGUCACUCCCAUUGUUUUGGGUUUCUGGUUUAGCAGGAUGCUCCCAUUGUUUUCAGUUUCUGAUUUAGCAGGAUGCUCCCAUUGUUUUGGGUUUCUGGUUUAGCAGGUCACUCCCAUUGUUUUGGGUUCCAGUUUUAGCACGUCACUCCCGUUGUUUUGGGUUCCAGUUUUAGCACGUCACUCCCAUUGUUUUGGGUUUCUGGUUUAGCAGGUCACUCCCAUUGUUUUCGGUUUCUGGGUUAGCAGGAUGCUCCCAUUGUUUUGGGUUUCUGGUUUAGCAGGUCACUCCCAUUGUUUUGGGUUCCGGUUUUAGCACAUCACUCCCAUUGUUUUCAUUUCCGGUUUUAGCACAUCACUCCCAUUGUUUUGGGUUCCAGUUUUAGCAAGUCACUCCCAUUGUUUUGGGUUCUGAUUUUACACGUCACUCCCAUUGUUUUGGGUUCUGGUUUUAGUGCACGUCACUCCCAUUGUUUUGGGUUCCCGUUUUAGUACAUCACUCCCAUUGUUUUGGGUUUCUGGUUUAGCAUGUCACCCCCAUUGUUUUGGGUUUCCGGUUUAGCAUGUCACUCAUAGGUUAUGGUGUCCUUACGGUUGCCCUUUUUUUUUAAUCUCUUGUCAUUCCAGUUGAAGAGAUACCAUUUGAUAUUUUAGAGAUGCCUGCAUGCAAACUCUUAAAACAUUUGAGUAAGUACAGUGCAACAGGGAGACUCUUAUGACUGUUGGGAUAACACCAAGAAUUUGGUAUAUGCUCCUAACUCAGGGUCCCCAUAAAUCAAACCACCUAAAAUCAAAUAGAUUAAAGAAUGAAUUAGAUAAAGAGUUUACUUGCUUAACUAAGUGGGUUUUUUUGUUAAUUCCCUACAACCAAAUUUUUAUAAUACCCCAUGUUUUCUCCACAUGCUGUAAGUGUUAGCAGCUGCACAGAUACUUAAGAUAAGUGUCUCAUGAUAGUAGAGAAGUCUUGAUCUGUGAUCGUGGGAAAAGCUGUUCACAUUAAGGAUGCCAUCUUCUUCUGGGGGGAACUGUCCUUGUUAGCUUUACCUUAAGGGUUCCAAUGGGUAUAUGGUUCCAAGUGUGGAAGGACCUUUCUGAGUUGUGAGACUAUGAACCCAAAGUUUAAGGUUUUAAAGUUUUGCUGUCAUGUGGAUGGCAAGGGCAGUCCUUCUCUGAUGUUCUCAGAAGAUCCAGUCAUCAGAUUCCAGAUUUUGAAGGAGUUGACUGUCCUCAGCGAACCAUAAAAGGCUUUCUUUACCUGGUGAAAAUACACUUCAGGGUAAUAAUGUACUGUUUUAACAUCAACUCUCUCGCAUGGAAGAGCUUUUAUACAAUCAGAAAACAUGCACUGAAAAUGACAACUGAAUCAAAUCCCUUUAUAAAAUGUUUAAAUGGCCCAUCAGGUAACCAAAUGUACCUGAAGUUUUGAUUGUUUUCCUAGAAAUAUAGGUUUGACAAACUAAACAUUGGUUAUAAACUAUUUUAGCAGUUUAGAAAUCACCACACCAAUAUAUUUAAUUUGGAUCAUUUUCUCUUUCCAUGAUGAGUUAUGGAAUGCAGAACUUUUAAUAACAAAAGUUUUAAGGACUUAAGAAGGAUAAGGUGGCCAUCCUGGUUCUUCAUAAGUCUGUGCUUAAUUAACAUUAGACUUACAUCCUCUUGAAUACCAGCUGUUUCUCCAAAUUACGUGCAUGGCACUGGUAACUGAUGAGUAGUUAUAGGUGAUUUGACUUAGACCAUGGAGUUUAUUUAAAUUAUAUACCUAAACAAUUUCAAUAUUGGUGAUUUAGCAUGCAAAUGUGGCAAAAUAUUUCCUUGGUAUACAAUUUUUGUUUUACUUAGGUUAGCAGUUUUAUAAACCAGUUGGUCUAUUUAUUAAACUUUUGGGCUUUUUUUUGAGACAGAGUCUCACUCUGUUACCUAGGUUGGAGUGCAGUGGCAAAAUCUUGGCUCACUGCAACCUCCACCUCCUGGGUUCAAACAAUUCUCUUGCCUCAGCCUCCAGAGUAGCUGGGAUUACAGGCACAAACCACCACACCCGGCUAAUUUUUACUAAUUUUUACAUUUUUAGUAGAGGUGGGGUUUCACCGUUAGCCAGGCUGGUCUCAAACUCCUGACCUCAAGUGAUCCACUGGCCUUGGCCUCCCAAAGUGCUGGGAUUGCUGACGUGAGCCGCUGCACCCAGCCUAACUUUUGAGAAUUCUUAACCUGUCCAAUUCUUGGGGUAUCAGGGAACUUAUGGGGAAUUUUUACCCAUUAUAUUAAAGUUAUUAAAAAUCUGUGUUCACGAGUGUUUUUCAGGAUCCUUUUCAUUCUUUCAUGAAUCUUCUAAGAGACACCAUAUUCUAGAAUUUUGCAUGCUUGUGAAGUUUUUAGAAACUGCAUCACCAUUAAGCAAUUAACUGUGGAAAUGACUUUAAAUAGUUAUAGAUAAAGACAAUUGACAAGGAAAUUUGGUUAUUUCUGUGGUCUACAAUAACUUAAUAACCAUAAUUAGGGUGGAUGUGGUGGCUCAUGCCUGUAAUCCCGCACUUUGGGAGGCCGAGGUGGAAGGAUCACGAGGUCAGGAGAUCGAGACCAUCCUGGCUAACACAGUGAAAUCUGUCUUUGCUAAAAAUACAAAAAUUAGCCUGGCAUGGUGGUGGGUGCCUGUAGUCCCAGCUACUCAGGAGGCUGAGGCAGGAGAAUGGCAUGAACUCGGGAGGUGGAGGUUGCAGUGAGCCAAGAUUGCACCACUGUACUCCAGCCUGGGUGACAGAGCAAGACUCCUUCUCAGAAAAAAAAAAUACAAGAAUUUUAGAAAUCCUACACAAAUUUAGAAUGGAUUGAUGACAUACACUGAAUAUAACCUAAAGAAGGUUCAACAUUAUUUUUUAUUUUGACAGUGCUAGCCAUGUGACUUAACAUGUUAAAUAGUCCUGUUUACCUCUCUUUUGGGUGCUUCAGGGGCCUCUGUAGUAUCCCAAAGUUAGAGGUCAGAACAUAAAAUUUUGAAGUUGUAAUUUGAUUUUGGGAAGCCUAUUAAAUAUAUUAAAGGUUUAAACACUUGAUGUUAUGAAAUAGAAUUCCACGUCAACGUAAGUCAUUCAUUUACCUAAAAUCAUGACUUAAAAAAUUUUUAAAGGGCAAAAAUCUUUACUCAUUGAUAGGGGGAAGACUUAUCUCCACAAAUAAUCUGCCUCUUGUUUUUCCUUUUUUUUGGUAGUUUAUUUACAAGGCAAACAAAUUUUUCAUUUUUUAAUUUUAUUUUAUUAUUAUUAUUAUUAUUAUUAUACUUUAAGUUUUAGGGUUUAUGUGCAUAAUGUGCCAGUUAGUUACAUAUGUAUACAUGUGCCAGUCUGGUGUGCUGCACCCCUUAACUCGUCAUUUAGCAUUAGGUAUAUCUCCUAAUGCUAUCCCUCCCCCUCCCCCCACCCCACAACAGUCCCCAGAGUGUGAUGUUCCCCUUCCUUUGUCCAUGUGUUCUCAUUGUUCAAUUCCCAUCUAUGAAUGAGAACAUUCAGUGAUUGGUUUUUUGUCCUUGUGAUAGUUUACUGAGAAUGAUGAUUUCCAAUUUCAUCCAUAUCCCUACAAAGGACAUGAACUCAUCAUUUUUUAUGGCUGCAUAGUAUUCCAUGGUGUAUAUGUGCCACAAUUUCUCAAUCCAGUCUAUUGUUGUUGGACAUUUGGGUUGGUUCCAAGUCUUUGCUAUUGUGAAUAGUGCAGCAAUAAACAUACGUGUGUAUGUGUGUUUAUAGCAGCAUGAUUUAUAGUCCUUUGGUUAUAUACCCACUAAUGGGAUGGCUGGAUCAAAUGGUAUUUCUAGUUCCAGAUACUUGAGGAAUCACCACACUGACUUCCACAAUCGUUGAACUAGUUUACAGUCCCACCAACAGUUUAAAAGUGUUUCUAUUUCUCCACAUCCUCUCCAGCACCUGUUGUUUCCUGACUUUUUAAUGAUUGUGAUUCUAACUGGUGUGAGAUGGUAUCUCAUUGUGGUUUUGAUUUGCAUUUCUCUGAUGGCCAGUGAUGAUGAGCAUUUUUUCAUGUGUCUUUUGGCUGCAUAAAGGUCUUCUUUUGAGAAGUGUCUAUUCAUAUCCUUCACCCACUUUUUGAUGGGGUUGUAUUUCUUUUCUUGUAAAUUUGUUUAAGUUCGUUGUAGAUUCUGGAUAUUAGCCCUUUGUCAGAUGAGUAGGUUGCAAAAAUUUUCUCCCAUUUUGUAGGUUGCCUGUUCACUCUGAUGGCAGUUUCUUUUGCUGUGCAGAAGUUCUUUAGUUUGAUUAGAUCCCAUUUGUCAAUUUUGGCUUUUGUUGCCAUUGCUUCUGGUGUUUUAGACAUGAAGUCCUUGCCCAUGCCUAUGUCCUGAAUGGUAAUGCCUAGUUUUACUUCCAGGGUUUUUAUGGUUUCAGGUCUAACAUUUAAGUCUUUAAUCCAUCUUGAAUUAAUUUUUGUAUAAGGUGUAAGGAAGGGAUCCAGUUUCAGCUUUCUACAUAUGGCUAGCCAGUUUUCCCAGCACCAUUUAUUAAAUAGGGGAUCCACUCCUUGUUUUUGUCAGGUUUGUCAAAGAUCAGAUAGUUGUAGAUAUGCAGCAUUAUUUCUGAUGGCUCUGUUCUGUUCCAUUGGUCUAUAUCUCUGUUUUGGUACCCGUACCAUGCUGUUUUGGUUACUGUAGCCUUGUAGUAUAGUUUGAAGUCAGGUAGGGUGAUGUCUCCAGCUUUGUUCUUCUGGCUUAGGAUUGACUUGGUGAUGCAGGCUCUUUUUUGGUUCCAUAUGAGCUUUAAAGUAGUUUUUUCCAAUUCUGUGAAGAAAGUCAUUGGUAGCUUGAUGGGGAUGGCAUUGAAUCUAUACAUUACCUUGGGCAGUAUGGCCAUUUUCAUGAUAUUGAUUCUUCCUAUCCAUGAGUAUGGAAUGUUCUUCCAUUUGUUUUUAUCCUCUUUUAUUUCAUUGAGCAGUGGUUUGUAGUUCUCCUUGAAGAGGUCCUUCACGUCCCUUGUAAAUUGGAUUCCUAAGUAUUUUAUUCUCUUUGAAGCAAUUGCAUAUGGGAGUUCACUCAUGAUUUGGCUCUCUGUUUGUCUGUUAUUGGUGUAUAAGAAUGCUUGUGAUUUUUGUACACUGAUUUUGUAUCCUGAGACUUUGCUGAGGUUACUUAUCAGCUUAAGGAGAUUUUGGGCUGAGACAAUGGGGUUUUCUAGAUAUACAAUCAUGUCAUCUGCAAAGAGGGACAAUUUGACUUCUUCUUUUCCUAAUUGAAUACCCUUUAUUUCCUUCUCCUGCUUGAUUGCCCUGGCCAGAACUCCCAACACUAUAUUGAAUAGGAGUGAUGAGAGAGGGCAUCCCUGUCUUGUGCCCGUUUUCAAAGGGAAUGCUUCUAGUUUUUGCCCAUUCAGUAUGAUAUUGACUGUGGGUUUGUCAUAGAUAGCUCUUAUUAUUUUGAGAUAAGUCCCAUCAAUACCUAAUUUUUGAGAGUUUUUAGCAUGAAGCAUUGUUGAAUUUUGUCAAAGGACUUUUCUGCAUCUAUUGAGAUAAUCAUGUGGUUUUUGUCUUUGGUUCUGUUUAUAUGCUGGAUUACGUUUAUUGAUUUGCAUAUAUUGAACCAGCCUUGCAUCCCAGGGAUGAAACCCACUUGAUCAUGGUGGAUAAGCUUUUUGAUGUGCUGCUGGAUUCGGUUUGCCAGUAUUUUAUUGAGGAUUUUUGCAUCAAUGUUCGUCAAGGAUAUUGGUCUAAAAUUCUAUUUUUUGGUUGUGUCUCUUCCCGGCUUUGGUAUCAGGAUGAUGCUGGCCUCAUAAAUUGAGUUAGGGAGGACUCCUUCUUUUUUUAUUGAUUGGAAUAGUUUCAGAAGGAAUGGUAACAGUUCCUCCUUGUACCUCUGGUAGAAUUUGGCUGUGAAUCCAUCUGGUCCUGGACUCUUUUUGGUUGGUAAGCUAUUGAUUAUUGCCACAAUUUCAGAUCCUAUUAUUGGUCUAUUCAGAGAUUCAACUUCUUCCUGGUUUAGUCUUGGGAGAGUGUAUGUGUGGAGGAAUUUAUCCAUUUCUUCUAGAUUUUCUAGUUUAUUUGUGUACAGGUGCUUGUAGUAUUCUCUGAUGGUAGUUUGUAUUUCUGAGGGAUCAGUGGUGAUAUCCCCUUUAUUAUUUUUAUUGUGUCUAUUUGAUUCUUCUCUCUUUUUUUCUUUAUUAGUCCUGCUAGCAGUGUAUCAAUUUUGUUGAUCCUUUCAUAAAACCAGCUCCUGGAUUCAUUAAUUUUUUGAAGCGUUUUUUUGUUGCUAUUUCCUUCAGUUCUGCUCUGAUUUUAGUUAUUUCUUGCCUUCUGCUAGCUUUUGAAUGUGUUUGCUCUUGCUUUUCUAGUUCUUUUAAUUGUGAUGUUAGGGUGUCAAUUUUGGAUCUUUCCUGCUUUCCCUUGUGGGCAUUUAAUGCUAUAAAUUUCCCUGUACACACUGCUUUGAAUGUGUCCCAGAGAUUCCGGUAUGUUGUGUCUUUGUUCUCGUUGGUUUCAAAGAACAUCUUUAUUUCUGCCUUCAUUUUAUUAUGUACCCAGUAGUCAUUCAGGAGCAGGUUGUUCAGUUUCCAUGUAGUUGAGCAGUUUUGAGUGAGUUUCUUAAUGCCGAGUUCUAGUUUGAUUGCACUGUGGUCUGAGAGACAGUUUAAUUUCUGUUCUUUUACAUUUGCUGAAGAGGGCUUUACUUCCAAGUAUGUGGUCAAUUUUGGAAUAGGUGUGGUGUGGUGCUGAAAAAAAUGUAUAUUCUGUUGAUUUGGUGUGGAGAGUUCUGUAGAUGUCUAUUAGGUCCACUUGGUGCAGGGCUGAGUUCAAUUCCUUGGUAUCCUUGUGAACUUUCUGUCUUAUUGAUCUGUCUAAUGUUGACAGUGGGGUGUUAAAGUCUCCCAUUAUUAUUGUGUGGGAGUCUAAGUCUCUUUGUAGGUCACUCAGGACUUGCUUUAUGAAUCUUGGUGCUCCUGUAUUGGGUGCAUAUAUAUUUAGGAUAGUUAGCUCUUCUUGUUGAAUUGAUCCCUUUACCAUUAUGUAAUGGUCUUCUUUGUCUCUUUUGAUCUUUGUUGGUUUACAGUCUGUUCCAUCAGAGUCUAGGAUUGCAACCCCUGCCUUUUUUUGUUUUCCAUUUGCUUGGUAGAUCUUCCUCCAUCCUUUUAUUUUGAGCCUAUGUGUGUCUCUGCACGUGACGUGGGUUUCCUGAAUACAGCACACUGUUGGGUCUUGACUCUUUAUCCAAUUAGCCAGUCUGUGUCUUUUAAUUGGAGCAUUUAGUCCAUUUACAUUUAAAGUUAAUAUUGUUAUGUGUGAAUUUGAUCCUGUCAUUAUGAUGUUAGCUGGUUAUUUUGCUCGUUAAUUGACGCAGUUUCUUCCUAGUCUUGAUGUUCUUUACAAUUUGGCAUGUUUUUUCAGUGGCUGGUACCGAUUGUGCCUUUCCAUGUUUAGUGCUUCCUUCAGGAGCUCUUUUAGGACAGGCCUGGUGGUGACAAAAUCGCUCAGCAUUUGCUUGUCUGUAAAGUAUUUUAUUUCUCCUUCACUUAUGAAGCUUAGUUUGGCUGGAUAUGAAAUUCUGGGUUGAAAAUUCUUUUCUGUAAGAAUGUUGAAUAUUGGCCCCCACUCUCUUCUUGCUUGUAGAGUUUCUGCCAAGAGAUCAGCAGUUAUUCUGAUGGGCUUCCCUUUAUGGGUAACCUGACCUUUCUCUCUGGUUGCCCUUAACAUUUUUUCCUUCAUUUCAACUUUGGUGAAUCUCACAAUUAUGUGUCUUGGAGUUGCUGUUCUCGAGGAGUAUCUUUGUGGCAUUCUCUGUAUUUCCUGAAUCUGAAUGUUGGCUGGCUUUGCUGGAUUGGGGAAGUUCUCCAGGAUAAUAUCCUGCAGAGUGAUUUCCAACUUGGUUCCAUUCUCCCCGUCACUUUCAGGUACACCAAUCAGAUGCAGAUUUGGUCUUUUCACAUAGUCCCAUAUUUCUUGGAGGCUUUGUUCAUUUCUUCUUAUUCUUUUUUUUCUAAACUUCCCUUCUUGUUUCAUUUCAUUCAUUUCAUCUUUCAUCACUGAUACACUUUCUUCCAGUUGAUCUCAUCAUCUCCUGAGGCUUCUGCAUUCUUCACAUAGUUCUCGAGCCUUGGCUUUCAGCUCCAUUAGCUCCUUUAAGCACUUCUCUAUAUUGGUUAUUCUAGUUAUACAUUCGUCUAAAGUUUUUUCAAAGUUUUCAACUUCUUUGCCUUUGGUUUGAAUUUCCUCCUGUAGCUCGGAGUAGUUUGAUGGUCCGAAGCCCUCUUCUCUCAACUCGUCAAAGUCAUUCUCUGUCCAGCUUUGUUCCAUUGCUGGUGAGGAACAGCGUUCCUUUGGCGGAGGAGAGGUGCUCUGCUUUUUAGAGUUUCCAGUUUUUCUGCUCUGUUUUUUCCCCAUCUUUGUGGUUUUAUCUACUUUUGGUCUUGGAUGAUGGUGAUGUACAGAUGGGUUUUUGGUGUGGAUGUCCUUUCUGUUUGUUAGUUUUCCUUCUAACAGACAUGACCCUCAGCUUCAGGUCUGUUGGAGUUUGCUAGAGGCCCAUUCCAGACCCUGUUUGCCUGGCUAUCAGCAGUGGUGUCUGCAAAAUCGUGGAUUUUCGUGAUCCGCGAAUGCUGCUGUCUGAUCGUUCCUCUGGAAGUUUUGUCUCAGAGGAGUACCUGGUCGUGUGAGGUGUCAGUCUGCCCCUACUGGGGGGUGCCUCCCAGGUAGGCUGCUUGGGGGUCAGGGGUCAGGGACCCACUUGAGGAGGCAGUCUGCCCAUUCUCAGAUCUCCAGCUGCAUGCUGGGAGAACCACUGCUCUCCUCAAAGCUGUCAGACAGGGACAUUUAAGUCUGCAGAGGUUACUGCUGUCUUUUUGUUUGUCUGUGCCCUGCCCCCAGAGGUGGAGCCUGCAGAGGCAGGACGGCCUCCUUGAGCUGUGGUGGGCUCCACCCAGUUCGAGCUUCCUGGCUGCUUUGUUUACCUAAGAGAGCCUGGGCAAUAGCCGGUGCCCCUCCCCCAGCCUUGCUGCUGCCUUGCAGUUUGAUCUCAUACUGCUGUGUUAGCCAUCAGCGAGACUCCGUGUGCGUAGGACCUCCGAGCCAGGUGCCAGAUAUAAUCUCCUGGUGUGCCGUUUCCUAAGCCCGUCAGAAAAGCACAGUGUUAGGGUGGGAGUGACCCGAUUUUCCAGGUGCUGUCUGUCACCCCUUUCCUUGACCAGGAAAGGGAGCUAACUCCCUGACCCCUUGCACUUUCCUGAGUGAGGCAAUGACUCACCCUGCUUCAGCUAGUGCACAGUGCACUUCACCCACUGUCCUGCGCCCACUGUCUGGCACUCCCUAGUGAGAUGAACCCAGUACCUCAAAUGGAAAUGCAGAAAUCACCGGUCUUCUGCGUCAUUCAUGCUGGGAGCUGUAGACUUGAGCUGUUCCUAUUCGGCCAUCUUGGCUCCUCCUCCCAUUAUUUUUUAAUAUUUUCUGAAAAUCUUCUUUAAAGAGAGAAAGCCAAAUGUCACCCACUUUUUCAUAAAACCUUAUAGGCCAAUCUAGUAUUCUUUUCUUUUUUGGAGGUGGAUUUUCCCUCUUGUUGCCCAGGCUGGAGUGCAAUGAUGUGAUCUCGGUUUACUGCAACCCCCUGCCUCCCAGGUUCAAGCAAUUCUCCCGCCCUAGCCUCCUGAGUAGCUGGGAUUAGAGGCAUGCCACACCAUGCCCAGCUAAUUUUGUGUUUUUAGUAGAGACGGGGUUUUUCCUUGUUGGUCAGGCUGGCCCUGAACUCCUGACCUCAGGUGAUCCACCUGCCUCGGCCUCCCCAAGUGUUGGGAUUACAGGCGUGAGCCACUGCCCCUGGCCAUUUUUUUUUAAAGAUAAUCUCUUGCUCUGUCACCCUCCUCUCCAUAUUAUAGCUCUGGGGCCAAGCUGCAUCACAAUGGAAAUCAUGGAGCCACAGGAAGAAUCCACUCAGCUUUGCCACAUGCUGCCCAAGAGGUUGCUUGGAGUAACCAAAUUAACAUUUUUCAUUCUGCUCAGAGCAAAAUACAUGUGACAAAACAUAGACACGAGCCACUUUGCUUAGCACCCAGUGUCAAACUGGUAAGACCCAAACUUGCUCCCAGAUAGGCCGUGCCACCUCUAAAUCUUUUUAGAAGCUUCUGCAUAUUAAUAGGCAUCCCUAGAUGAGACUAAUUUGGGAGCCCUCAUUUUUAAAUGCACUUCAGGGCAUUAUUCAUUUGGAAUGUUCCACUGUAAGUUAUCUUUAGUAAGAUUUUGCCAUUUCUGUAAGACUUUGCUGCUUCCCAGGCCUAAUGAAUUAGCCAGAAGGAACUAAGUUUUCCAGAAAUUAAGGAUCCUAUUUUUACCUAAUAUAUUGGCUUUACUCCCAGGUUCCCUUGAUUGACUUAGCCAAUGAUUUUUUUUUCCUACCUAAGCAUGCGAGGAAAAUGAAACAAAGGGGUAGAACACAAAAAUCCCUGUGAAUUUUGAAAAGCCAAAUUUUACAAUCCUCCAAUAUUAUCAUUUGCUACCACUUUCCUUCUGACCCAUUCAGAUGUAGGGGGCCUCUAACUGGAACUGGAUUCAAGCCAGUUAACUACUGGAUCAAAUCUGAUCCUGGACCCGGUCCCGUUUCUGUCAUAACUUCUAAAACAUCCAGCCAGUCAUGGCUGGAUAGCAGUUUGGAACAGAAAUUUGCUCAAAGAAACUCAGAGCUCAAAACACAAAUCCAUGGAGCUCUGAAAUCCGAGAGAGAAUUUACCAUGAUCCCCAGCUGCUCUGAGAGGUCAAAGGGCACAAGUGUUACAGAAUCCUGUGACGUCACUUUUCUGCCUGAAACCUCUGGCUGGUGGCACCUUUACCUGUGUUUUGCUCGGGCCCACUGGGUUCGUUCCGUCCACUCGGCUCAUGCUAGUGGUGUGGAUCCCACACCUGCCAAGGGUGAGCUGGGUACAGAGCAGUGAAGGGUGUGUGAGCAAGCAAGCAUGGGAUCUGGCCACUGCACACAGCCAAGCAUGCCAGCUGCAGUGAGGUGGGCAGCUCCAGGUACAGGCACAGGUGCCAGCUCCCUGUGAGGCUGCAGCUGGACCAGACCGACUGCAAACAGCUUCCACUGUGUGUAUCAGGGAAUGCAGUGGCGCCCAGAAACUUGGAGAUGCAGGAACUGCAGAGCCCCAAAGAAGGCAUCACAGCCCUGGCUUGGGGAGCUCCUAGGUCUGGGCUCCCUGAAGGGCCACAGCUCUUGUCUCCUUCUCUCUUCUCUUCUUCUUGCCUGCAAUUUGGCAAGCAAGGGGGGCGUUUCAGCCCUGUUUAUGUUACACCUCUUUCAGCCCUGCUAGUUUGCAGGUCCCGAGUUCUUGUCCUGAGUCCAGGAAGAAUGAGGUAUGUGGGCAAGUAGAAGGUGAGCAAGGUGAAGAGGUGCUUUAUUGAGCAACAGUACAGCUCAGAGGAGAACUGCAGUGGGUAACUCCUUUCUGCAGGCAGGUCAUCCCAACGUCUGUUCAGCUCUCAGCAGCUGAGAGAGACGCACUGUGGUUAGCUGUGCCCACAUUGCCGAGGCUGUUCGAGCUGAGGAGUGCCUUCAGGCCAGUGCUGAGCCACUCUUAGCCCCACCUCAACCUCCCUCUUGUGCUCGUCACUGCCCAAAUUCUGGAGGGGGCCGAGGUGGCAGGGGGCUGGCAUGUCAGCACUGCCCUGAGCUUGCACAAACCGGGCCAGGUUGCGACUGUGCCUGGGUUCAGCCUCAACUUGUAUCCGAAGUUGGAGUGGGCUCUGGGAGUGGAGAGAUGCCAGGUGGUGGGACCAGGUACGACUGAGCCUGUGGGGGCAGGGGGGCUUGCUGGGCCUCUGAGAGUGCAAAGAUGCCCGGGUUUGCAGUCAUGGCUGGAUGGCUGCAGCUGUGCCUGGGAGGGCAGGGCUCCUGCCUGCCAAUUUAGAAGGGGUGGGGCUCCCACCCCUUCCUGGCUCCCACCAGCUUCGAGGAGCGCACAGCCCCAGCCACUCCUCCCCACUGCAGCCAGUGUCUCCGUAGCAACUGCUCCAUGUGGACCACUGCUGCCAUCACAGAGCAGUCCUUGCAGGUGCCUUUCUUGUACCUCAGCACUCCUGGGGGUCAUUAGAAGCCCUAGCAACGCUGCUCACCACACUAUAGCUCCGGAGGCCCUAGCAGUCCUGCUCCCACAGAUCCCACUUCUGACACCAUCUAUUAAAAGAAAAUCUUCAGCUGAAUUAAAUUUAAAGGAACUUAAUUGAGCAAUGAAUGAUUCACGAAUCAGGCAGCCCCCAGAAUCACAGCAGAUUUGGUGAGACUCCAGCACAGCUACAUGGUGGAAGAUUUAUAGACAAUAAAGGCAACGUGAUGUACAGAAAUCUGAAGUGAGGAGUGAGGUCCAGAAGCAACUGGGUCCCUUACCAUUCUCAGCAGUGAGGUCCAGAAGCAACUGGACUGGUUCCAGUGCUCAGCAUUUGCCUUAUCUGAACACAGCUGAACACUCAGCAGUGUGUGAGUGGCAGAAGUUUGGCUGUUGGGAUUGGCCAGGACUCAGCUAUAGUUACAGGCGCAUACUCCUAAGUUAGGUUUUCAGUCUUCCUACCUAUUAAGUUAGGUUGCAGUUUGUCCACAGGGACUCAAAUCUAGAAGUACAGAGUCCUUCCCAGGCCAUAUUUAGUUCACUGUAACAGUUCCUAUUAUGACCUCACUGACAGUUCUUUUUCUCUGAAUUCUCCUUUCUUCUCAACAGCUUAUCCAAAUGUUCCAUUAGUCCCUGUUCAUCCCGCCCUGCAGUUCUCCUUGACUGAUUCAGCCCUUUGUGGUUUGCAGUCCUGUUUCUCUACAGCUUGGACCCCUUCAGUCUUUCCAUCAUAGGUUUAACUCUCUGUUGAAUGCUUCUUUGUAGCUACGCAAAAGUUACCUUAAGCUCAAAAAAUUCAAAGUGAAAGCCACAUCCUCCUCUCUUCCCUUAUGUGUAUGGUAUUACUACCAUGCAACCAGUGACCCAAAAUGGGAUUUCUUCUGGGCUUUUCUUGCUUAGAUUCAGGCUCAUCUGGUGUCAAGCCUUGUUACUUUUGUUUCCUUGUUCUUUUAUUUUUAAUUUUUUUUCUUUUGAGACAGAGUUUCACUCUUGUUGUCCAGGCUAGAGCACAGUGGUGUGAUCUCGGCUCACUGCAGCCUCCACCUCCCGGGUUCAAGCAAUUCUCCUGCCUCAGCUCCUGAGUAGCUGGUAUUACAGGCAUUUGCCACCAUGCCCAGCUAAUUUUGUAUGUUUAGUAGAGAUGGGGUUUCUCUGUUUUGAUCAGGGUGGUCUCGAACUCCCGACCUCAGGUGAUCCACAUGUUUCGUCCUCCCAAAGUGCUGGGAUUACAGGCGUGAGCCACCGUGCCUGGCCUGCUUGUUGUUUUCAUCUCAUGCUGAUUUCUGAAUACAGGAGAGGAGCUGAGUUGGUGUUCACUAACAAGCACGGAAGCUUCGUUACAUUUACAGUGUCAUUCUUGGCAAAACCUGAAUAGUAUGUUUGUGGGGUGAUGAGAUUCAGUCCCCUGUGACCUGUGCAUCUGGCCAACACUGUGGUGACAUCCUUAGGAAUCAAUGGGGAGAGAGAAAGCAUUCAGGAGUUAGUGGGUCACAUUUGACAAAGGCCAAUAAAGAAAUAUGCAAAGACAAAAAUCAAGAAGAACACUGUCAUAUUUUACACCUUUUGUUUAUAUAAAUUUAUGUCAAUGAUUCUAGCUUAUGUUAAUAUGCAAUGUAUACAAUAUGCUAACAUAUACAAUAUAUGUUUAUAGUUUAAACAUUUCUGUCAUGUUUUCAGAUUCUUUAAAGAUUAUAUUACACUUCCUAUUUCAGAUAGUUGUUUAAAAUGAGUAAGGAGAAACGGAUGUGUGCAUCAGUUCUAACUGUUUAUGGACUAAAACUAGUUGAUUUCUUGGUUAAGAACAAAAAGUGACAAACUAAUUAACUGAAAAUUUGAAGUAGGCAAUUAUAGUUUUAGCUUUAACGUAAAAUAUUAACUAUGCUCCAUUCUUGCAUUUUUAACCUAAUACUCAAUAUAAAUCGCUACAUGCCGUUUCAGAUCAAGGUUCUACUUGUGAUCUCUCAUGAGUUUUUCAAGGUUUUAAUUAUCUGAGAUGUAACAAUGUACCAGUAACCUUACUGGCUUAAACCAGGAAUUUAUUCUUUUUACAUGUCACAAUUUUCUGGGUCAAGACACUGGACAGGGCGGUGUUGGUUGGUUGCUUCAUGAUGUCCUUGGUCUCAUCUGGAAGGACUCUAGUGGCUGGGGACAUGGAGCAGGCACCCAGCCCUCUCUUCGUGGCCAGCACGGACUUCCUCCCAGUCUGGCAGCGUCAGGUAGUCAGGUUUGUCUGGCUUCUCCCAGGGUGUGUGUCCAAGAGGCCCAGGCAGAAGCUGUAAGGACUCUCAUGAUCGCCCCUCAGAAGUCCCAGAGCAUCUCUCCUGCCACACUGCCCAGUCGCACUCAUCACUGAGACCAGCCAUGAUUCAAGGGGGGAAGGUGAUUAGAUUCCACCUCUUGAUGAGAAGCAUAGUAGGAACCUGCAGCAGUCUUUAAUAAACCACAGCUUGUCCUCUGGCCACAAACUAUUAACAUUUCUCCUACAUGCAAAUUAUGCUUUGCCCCUCUCAAGAGCCCCAGAAAGGUUUUCCUUAUGGCACUGGCUGGUAGCCCAACUGAAUCCUGAAUCAGGUUGUGGUGACCUGUCAUCUGCACCCACACACACUCAGCCGCAGUGAGGACUGAAUCAGGUUGUGGUGACCUGUCAUCUGACCCCCCCACACACAGCCACAGUGAGGACUGAAUCAGGUUGUGGUGGCCUGUCGUCUGCCCCUGACACACUCAGCCACAGUGAGGACUGAAUCAGGUUGUUAUGACCUAUCAUCUGAGCCCACAAACUCAGCCGCAGUGAGGGGACUGGUGUGAAAACAGUCGGCAUUUCCCUUUAGAAGCUGUUGGUGGGAGGCAAGAGGGAAGUGCUGCCCUGCAGGCCCCGUCUAACAGUUGGUCAUUCCCAUGGGGUGCCUGUUACAGUUCUGUGAUUAGUGCCCAGUCCUGGUCCCUGAGAACGGCGCCCAGUCCUGGUCCCUGAGAAUGGUGUUUGUGUCCUUUUACUCUUCCCUCUGGGCUUUUGUCAUUCUCCAUGUUCUUUUUCCUUCAGUGCCUGGGUUGCCGUUGACCAACUUUCCCUGCCUUUUUCUUAUGGUCAAUAGGGUAUUCAAUGGCUUCUUUUUCAUUUUUUUUCCUUUUCUUUUCUUUUUUUUUUUUUUUUUACUUUGGCCUUUUGAGACAAGAAAUUAUUUCUUUAUAUUUUCUCUAAAUUCUGUUUGAAAACUGAACCUUCUUCUUUAGAUCAUGUCCCUCUCCUGUCAUAUUUAUUCAGUGACAGUUAGGGGAGGCUGGUAGCACUUUCCAUGUUCUUCCCAGAUGUCUCCUUAGGCAGAUCCCUGAGAUGGUGCAGUGCCCUUUCAGUUUCCAUGUUGUGGCCAUAGUUUUCCCACAGUCCCUCAGCAUGUAACUCUCAGGCCUUUUCUCCAGUUUCCAAUGACAUUUUCUCACCGUCCUUCAGGCCCUGACCAAGUGUCUUGAUGCUCUUCCAGGUUGCAUGAAUGGUCUCCUUGAGGCCCAGUUACAGAUCAGCCUCACAGUCGUGUCACAUAUUGUAGCUUCUGAUUACCACAGCAGCUCAUUUCCAGCUGUCAUAUUCUGUUCCAGUUAUCUAUUCUGAAGAAACCAUCCCCAAAACUUGGCAGCUUAAAACAACUCAUUAUUACUUGUUUUUUGGCUUAGAGAGUCUUGGUGGUCAGCUCAUCUCACACACAGUUGCAGCCAAGCUGGAUUGUGUGAAAGCACAGUGAGGUGGUGUGCAGGGUGGCUCACUAGCGGUUGGGAGUGGAUGUUGCUGGAGGCUCACUAGUUGUUGGGAGUCGGUGUUGCUGGAGGCUCAGUGGGGGAUGUCAAUGCAUGUAGCUAGUCAUGGACUGGCCGUGUGGUUUCCAUCAUGAGGUCUCAGGGGAGUGGGAUUUCCUGCCUGGUGACUGGCUUUCUCCUGGAUAAGUGUUCUGUUUUCUCAGCCUGGCUUCUGAAGUCCCCAAAUACCACCUUUGUCACCUUCUGUUGGCCAAAUAAGUCAGUAGUUUGGUCAAGGUUUAAGGGGAAUUGGUCCUCACAGAGAGAGGAGCAGGAAAGAAGUUGUCACCUUUAGUCUACCAGAAAUGAGAUUUUUAUAACAAGUUUGUUCCAAAUACAUUCCAGUUCCCCUUGUGAAUACUUUUUUGACUCACAGGGUAUUUCAAAGUUUAUUACUUGGUUUUCAGACAUUUGAGGCUUUUCUGGUUAUCAAUUUGUUGUUGGUUUCUAAUUUAAUUUCAAGUGUUCAGACAACAUCCUUUGUAUAGUAUUUCAGGCUUGAACCUUUUCUCAAUCGAUCGACAUACAGUCUAUCUUGGUACUGCCAAGUACCAUUUGGGUCAGGAUUUUGUCAUUUAGAUCCAUAUUUUUCCAAUAUUUUUAUCUGGUUGUCCCAUCAGUUACUGAGAGAGCAGUAUUAAUUCACCAGCUAUAAUUUUGCAUUGUCAAUUUCCUGCUUUUGUUCUGUUGUUUUUGAUUCACAUACUUUGAGGUUGUGUGUGUGUGUGUACUUUGUGUGCAUUUUGAGGCACAAUUUUUAAUUGUAACAUCAUCGUCUCUGAUUCUUUUAUUUUUAUUAAAUUACCCUGUUUAUUUCUGGUGAUAUAUUUUGCUCUGAAGCCUCUUUCAUCUAGUGUUAACAUCUCUGUUGAAGCUUUUUAUGAUUAGUGUCUGGAUAGCAUAUUUUUAUGAUUAGUGUCUGCAUAGCAUAUUUUUUCUCAUACUUUGUUUGUGUCUUUGUGUUUAAAUUGUGUCUCUGUGGAUGCCAUAUUGUUGGGUCUUGCCUUCCUCUCAGGUCUGGCAGUCUCUGUCUUAAGUAGAGUAUUUGUCCAGUUACAUUGUAACUAAUCAUUGCUAAGGUUGGAUUUAGGUCUGCCAUUUUUCUAGUUAUUUUCUAUUUGUUUGUUUAUUAUUUUUAAGACAGGGUCUUGCUCUGUCACCCAGACUGUAGUGCAAUGGUGCAAUCUUGGCUCGCUGCAACCUCUGCCUCCCAGGCCCAACCAAUCCUCACUUGAUCCCCCUGAGUAGCUGGGACUACAGGUGCAUGGCACCACACCUGGCUAAUUUUUAUAUUUUUUGUAGAGAUAGAGUUUUGCCAUGUUGCACAGGCUGGUCUUGAACUCCUUAGCUCAAGCAACCUACCCACCUUGGCCUCCCAAAUUGUUCAGAUUACAAGCAUGAGCCACCAUGCCUGGUCUUCGUCUGUCUUUUGAUCUUCUAUAUAUUCUUUCCUAACUUCUUUUGGGUUAAAUAUUUCUAAAUAUUCCAGUUUGAUUAAUCUUUUGGCUUUUUGAAAUAAUUUUUUAUAGGCUGGGCAUGUUGGCUUAUGCUCGUAAUCUCAGCUCUGUGGGAGUCCAAGGGAGGUGGAUUGCUUGAGCCCAGGAGGUUGAGACCAGCCUGGGCAACAUGGGAAAACCCUCUCUACAAAAAACCAAACCAAACUUUAGCCUGACAUCUUGGUGUGCACCUGUAGUCCCAACUAUUCGGGAGGCUCAGGUGGGAGGGUUGCUUGAGCCUGGGAGGCUGAGGCUGCAAUGAGCUGUGAUCAUGCCAUUGCACUCCUGCCAGGGCAACAGAGUAAGAUCCUGUGUCAAAAAAUAUCAUUUUUUAUAAAUAAUUUAUUAUUUCUAAUUUUGGUAACAAACACAUACCUUAAAAUUUACCAUCAUAACCAGUUGUAAGUGUACAGUUUUGUAGAGUUAAGAAUAUUUACAGUGUUGUGUAGCAGAUUUCUAGAUUUUUUUUUUUAUCUUGGAAAACUCUAUACCCAUUCAACAACUAUUAAUUCCCCCUUCCUUCCACCUCCUGGCAAGUACUAUUCUACUUUGUGUUUCUAAAACUUUGGCUUAUAUACCUAGGGUUAUAUAAUAUUUGUUGUUUUGUAAGUAGGUUCCAUGUUAUAUGUCAGAUGUGUCAGGAUUUUCUUCCUUUCUAUGGCUGAAUAAUAUUUCUUCAUAUAUAUAUAUAUAUUUUCUCUCUCUCUCUCUCUCUAUAUAUAUAUCCUUUUGUUUAUCCAUCUAUUCCUGGAUGGACGUUUUGGUUUCUUCCACUUGUGGCUGUGUAAUGCUCCUGUGAACACAGGUGUGCACAUAUCUGUUGGAGUUCCUGCUACUAGUUAUUCUGUCUCUGUAGAAGUUGGAUGCCUGGAUCAUAUGGUCAUUUUAUUUUAUUUUUUGUGAGGAGCCAGUUCAUAUUUCCACCAACAGUGUUCAAGGGUUUCAGUUUCACCUGCACUUGUUACUUUCUGUUGGGUUAGAAGUGAUGUCCCAUUGUGGUUUCUAUUUGCAUUUCUUUAAUGACUAGUGAUGUUACACAUCUUCUCAUAUAUCUCAUGUAUCUGUUGGCUAUUUUUAUAUCAUCUUUGCAUCUUUGGAUAAAUGUUCUUUGUCCAUUUUUUAAUCACUUUAUUUUGUUGUUGUGUUGUAGUGGGGUUUUUUGGUCAUGAUCAUUCAUUUAUCUCACAGUUCAUUCUUGUUACUUGGGCCAGGGUCAUGGUCAUUCAUUAUCUCUCAGUUCAUCCUCAUUACGUUGGGCAAACAGUCAUGCUGCAGGGUAUAGAUUAUGUUAUUCUGUUACUUUCAGAUAGAAUUGGGGUCUAGGUUCUAAUUGUUUCUAAGUUUAGAUUCUGAAUGAGAAUCAGCAGAGGUAGACCACUGCUGCUGAGGCCUGGGGAUUGCUGGGGAAAAGGCAGGAAACAGAUACGGACCUGACCAUGGAAGGUUUGCGUUUCACGGCUCCCAUCUGGGUACCCAAGGAACCUACAUGUAGCUCAUGUGUGGAGAGCCUACUUUGCCCACUCAAAGCAAUUGAGGAUGGAACAGUCUUGGGGCUGGAGCUCAUUAUUUGGAAUGAUAACCACAUCUGCACAGAGAGGACCUGACAAGAUGUUGUCCUUCCAUGUAUAUCUGGGAAUCCUCUGUAGGGUCUCUCUGUAAGGACAGGGGCAGUGUUGGCUCCUUGGCCUCUAGUUAGCCUCACAAGUAGUCUAGUAAAGGCUUUGCAAACUUGUCACCAUCUGUGGACAUUCUGGCCAGCUCUUGUUUUCACCCUACUGACUUCUUCAGACACUAGGCUUUUGCUUUAGACCAUUCAUGGUUUUUCUUCCUCUUCAAAUCAGUAAUCAAUAAAUACUCUUCAAGUCAAUAAAUUUCCACUCCUUUAGGAAACCCUGAUCUUCUGGUCACACCAAGGUUUAAUUAACUGGUUUGAUUGUUUUUCUGUUUUGUUUUUUUUUUCCUUCUUCCUAGGGGUUUCUAGUAAUUCUAGUUUGAUGUCUCACUUUCUCCAUUUUUUAUUUCUUAGUUUUCUUCUGUGAUUAUUUUCACUGCAGCUGCAGGGCCUAAUCCUAGGUUGGCAGAGAACUAGCACUUACUCUGCCCUAAUUGGAAUCCAGGAGAGAUAGGAGGUGCCCUAGUGUGAAAAUGUGUUUGCUCCUCUCUGCUUCUGGUAGUCUCUCUGUAGGAGUUCUUUACGUAUUCUGUAUGUUCACUUCUUAUGAGAUACAUGAUGAGCAACUAUAGGUUGAAUGUCUCUGAUCCAAAAAUCUGAAAUCCCAAAUGCUCCAAAGUCUGAAACUUUUAGAGUGCCAACAUGACACUCAAAGGAAAUGCUUAUUGGAGCAUCUCAGACUCAGGUGUUUGAAUUCGAAAUGCUCAACCAGUAAGAAUAGUGCAAAUAUUACAAAAUCUGAAACACAUCCC
rnacentral:lncRNA from 1 species